CUGGAAACACCCGCAGUCAGGAAGUGGCGAGGUACAGAGGGACAGAGAUGGGUCCCUUGUCCUGAGCCUCGGACAGGCCAGGCUGGCGUUUCAGAGUGGUGGCCAGCGGUGCCUGGAGGCCCCCAAACCUGCAACUCUCCCAGGCUCUGAGGCUCGACACAUCUUGGUUCGAAUCCUUCCUCUGCCACCCAGCAGCUUUGUGACCUUGGGCUCACGGCAUCAGCUCUGGGCCGUGGCAUCCUCAGCCCUGAAGUAGGAGUGUUCGCCCUUUGUGGGUCAGGCGACCAUAAGUGGCACCUGGGACUUGUGUUAUUGUCCCUGGCAUCACCCCUGCACUGCUGAUGUCUCUGACCCAAGCCUAGCAGUGUUGUGGCCCCCUCUGCCUACGCAAGGUUCUAAAGAAAUCCAGGCACCUGGGGAUGGGCCCUGUCUCCCGAAACUCCCUGUUCCUGAUUGCUCGCCAAGGGCAGCUCAGGGAGAUUUCCAUGGAAGCCAAGUGCUAUUUCUGUGGGGCUGGCACUCCCAGUGGGGCCCGAGAGCCAGCUUCUACUGCCACCUCGGUUCCCAGGGGACCGUCAGGGAGCCACGGUUUACCCACCUUUGACGGGGCCAGUGACCUCCCAUCUUCAAGCACCGGUUCGCUGAUUUUAGGGUCUCAAGGAUCAGCAGACUUGACUGGAAAAGUUAACAACCAAUGUUAAAAACUCACCAAGUACAGUUUUGAACAAAGCA